rnacentral:lncRNA from 1 species
UUUGUCAAAGUUCAUCUUAGUUGUGUUUUACAACACUUUUUCAACAACUCCACUCGAAUAAUUAUUCUUAUAGAGGCUCUAGCCGAGUUAAAGACCUAUUCUUUAUCUCAUGCAUAAUCGUGUAGAACAUUACUGAGGAGCAAAUAAAUAAAUAUAGACUGCAUUAUUUAUUGCAACAUGUAUAUGCUGGGGGUGUAAAUUUACGAAUGAGAUGAAUUAUGUCUCGGAGAAGAAUUUUAAUGCAUAAGUUUUAGAUGUUCUAGCUUCUCUUGUAUCAUUCACUCGUAGUUCUAAUAAGCAAAAGAUAUUGAAGAAUGCUAAUGAACAGUUGUAGUGUCCUGGGUGAGUUAUUGAGCAAGAUUAAGAUAAACAUUCAAACUUGGAAAGAACAAUAUAAUCAUAUACACCUGCUGAUG